rnacentral:rRNA from 1 species
AGCCAUGCAUGUGUAAGUAUAAAUAGUUAACUUUGAAACUGCGAAUGGCUCAUUAUAUCAGUUAUAGUUUAUUUGAUCAAGAAUACUAAUUGGAUAACCGUAGUAAUUCUAGAGCUAAUACAUGUAUAAAGUCUUGUAGACUGCAUUUAUUAGAAUGAAAACCAUAGGUUUCGGCCUAUUCGUGAGUAAUAAUAACUAAUCAUAUCGUAUGCUUAUGUAACGAUGUGUCUUUCAAGUUUCUGCCCUAUCAGCUUUCGAUGGUAGAGUAUUGGACUACCAUGGCAGUAACGGGUAACGAAGAAUUUGGGUUCGAUUUCGGAGAGGGAGCCUGAGAGAUGGCUACCACAUCCAAGGAAGGCAGCAGGCGCGUAAAUUACCCAAUCGUGACACAGGGAGGUAGUGACAAUAAAUCACAAUGCGGAACAAUGUUUUGCAAUUGGAUUGAGAACAACGUACAAACCUUAUCGAUAAACAAUUGGAGGGCAAGUCUGGUGCCAGCAGCCGCGGUAAUUCCAG